ACACUGGAAAAAGUGAAGCACAGAGUUGUUCAUUCAAGCUAAUAACUACCAUUGAAUACAUUGUAAAAUAAUUGACUUGGUUGUGAAAGUCUAUUUUUUUGCAUUCUGAGGUGUCAAUUUUGAUUCAGACUGAAUUAAUAACACUUCUGAAGGAAAGAAAGCAAAUAUUUUGGUUCCUCUCAAAACACGCUGAAAGGAAAUGAUGUCAUAUUUUCAAUCUGAGUCACGUGAGAAGAAGUGGGGGAGAAGUGCUUGGAGAGCUUCGUCCGUUAAGACGGUUAAGAAAGAAUGAUUAACGUCCCAGCACGUCAAAGAAUAAACCUGCGGUUGGAUGUGGAAAUGCAAAGAAUGCAGCGAGCAUUUUUCAAGAAGAUCUGAGAUACUGAAACACUUGAGAAUUGACCAUCGGUUUCACGGGUGCUGAUGCAGAUUUCAGAAGGGAGUGUAUCCUCAAAGCUCUCAUCAUCUACCUGGGAGAACGUGUUGAGGACCUUAUAAAGGAAUACAUGGUCUCCCAGAAAGAUCAAGCUGAGCAGGAGCUGGAGAGGACCAUCAUGGCAGUCUUCGUCUUCAGAGAGAAUUCAAGCCUUCUACAGCAGCCCCAAGACGUUAGGAUUGUCAUUGAUGGUGUGGAAGUCCUCAAUGAGUUGCCUUCUCUUGCAGCCGGAGUGGCAAUGCUCUUUGGACUUUGCUAUGCGCUUAACAUGGAGUAUCCACAGGGUUUCGGGUUCACCUUUGAGGCCCUUCAGAAGAUCCUGAUGGAGCUUGGUUCCAACAAGAUGACUUCCAAGAUUCGCAAACUCAGUGGUGAACUCAAAACUGCACAGUAGUGUAUAUUUGUGUGUAAGCACACACAUUAGCAAUGUGUGCCUGUAGUUGCCACUGGCUUCUAUUUAAGAGGUAGACCACCUCAGCAGCACUUUGUUAUACAGGCUCACAGGGUCACUUUCAUGGAGUGUUUUUGUUGGAAUUUUAGUUCUUUGAUGAUGUUUAGAGAUGCAACAUUCCUUCAAGUUCAGAUGUGUUUGACCAGUACAACAACAGUGGAUGCUUUCCAUCCAUUUAAUUUAGCUUGGUAAGCCAUAUUGUCUUUAUUUCAUUGCUCUGAUAUAGAGCAACAAUGACAUGUCUAUAUUUGUCUGAACAUGCAACUUUUUUUUGUCCUUUUUUACUUGAGGAAUAAAUGACUUUGAAAAAAAACUGUUGCUGGAGUGUGUUAAGUGUGAUGUGAGUGAUGCAAAUUGUUUUUGAAACCAAGUUUAUGAAAUAUAAAAAAAAGACUUUCAUGGUCCCAAUGAAUUAACUGGUGUUAAUGCCUGAAUAUUAGUUUGGUGCAAUGUAUAUAUAUUUGAUUGGUUCAAUUUCAAUAUUUUAGUUUGGUUCCAAAACUGAAAUGUAAAUAAUUUAACUUGGAUAAAGGUGAAGAAUUAAUAUUGGGUCAAAUAAAGUAAUAUGGUUUGAGUCAAAAUUAAAUAGUCAUGUUGUACCAAACCACUUUAUUUAGAUUCUGUGAAGUCAAAUAUUUUAGAUGCAACAAAUGGACAUCAAUUUUUUUAAUUUAAGCCAGGCCACACUUUUUACA